rnacentral:rRNA from 1 species
UACAGAGGUCUCAACCGUUGUUCGGAUUCAUUGGGCGUAAAGGGUGCGUAGGCGGUCGCGCAAGUCGGAUGUGAAAUCUCAGGCUCAACCCUGAAACUGCAUUCGAUACUGCGUGGCUAGAGUGCUGGAGAGGAGACUGGAAUUUACGGUGUAGCAGUGAAAUGCGUAGAUAUCGUAAGGAAGACCAGUGGCGAAGGCGAGUCUCUGGACAGCAACUGACGCUGAGGCACGAAGGCCAGGGGAGCAAACGGG